GCUUUCCAGUAGCUUCUUAGUAACAUUUUGUUGUUGGUGGUGGUGGUAGUCGAUUUUAGAAUCUUCUUAUGAGGUUCUGAAUUCUAAGGCAAAAUGUAAUCCCAAACUAGUAUCUCCAGGAGAAAUACACUGAGGAAGAUAAAUUUUGCAUAGUUUCAACUCAAAAUAAAAACGGUGCUUUAGAAGAUUAAUAUUAAUGUAGCCUAAUGAAUUGCUAGCACAUUGGGAAAACUGUAUUAACAGAGGUACAAGCAUGUAGUGACUGAUAUGCACACAUGUACUGAGGGUGGACGGAGAGAAGAAGCAAGUGCACGGUUCUGAUUUGACAGUGGUUGUUAACUGCAUGUUUGGCUGGGUCAUUUCACUCAGUGAAAGCCCCGAGUAUCGUCCUGCUCUCCAGGAGGGAGGCAUCCUGCCCAGGGUCAUGUGACUUACUGUGGACCAAUGGAAUAUUGACAAAUGUGACACAGCAGAGACUUGAAAAAGGCUUGUGUGAUUGUGCACCUCACCAUGACAAGGACAUGCCUGAGCUAUCUUGCUAGAGAAUAAACUUGCUGGGGGAUAUGUGAAGCAGAGCCAAACCUCUUUGGUCAUCCCAGGCAAGGCCAUCUACAAUCAGCAGAGCUAUAGAACUGACCUGCAGCUGAUGUACACAGAAAUCUGCUGUUAACCACAGACAUCAUAAUCACAAGCUAACAAUGUCAAAAGAGUAUGCUGCCAAGACCUCUGCCAUAGUUAACAUCUAAAACCUCCACAAAGAAAAGCUCUGCAUUUUUUACAAAAUUGAC